rnacentral:lncRNA from 1 species
CACGUUUUUAGGCUCCGAACAUGGGUUACUUUUGUGGAACGUCGUUUUGCUCUUUUCCAUGUUGUUUGGAUGAAUGAAAAAGCAAGUUUGUGAAACGCGGUUUCUGUCUCCAAAACACAGUCUUCCUGAAGCUGAGAUUCAGAGCUUCUACGGCAGAUGAAAACCACGUUUCAGCCUUUAAUUUCUCAAGUGGCAGGUACUUACCUAAUUACCUCUAAAUUCAAGCCUUCAAAUUCUCUUUCUCACAGUUUUCUUCCUUUUCAUUACUUCACAUCACUUCAACCUUAAAUUUUCUACUAAUUGUGAAGAUUUUGCAUAUCCAAGCUUUCAAUUUUCUUCAGCUUUUCCCCUAUUUUUUUUAUUUUUAUUUUUUCAGAUUUCGUGGUUAAUCUCAUUACUCAUGGUAGAUGUGUUGGUUUGGAUGAAUGAAAAAGCAAGUUUGUGAAACGCGGUUUCUGUCUCCAAAACACAGUCUUCCUGAAGCUGAGAUUCAGAGCUUCUACGGCAGAUGAAAACCACGUUUCAGCCUUUAAUUUCUCAAGUGGCAGGUACUUACCUAAUUACCUCUAAAUUCAAGCCUUCAAAUUCUCUUUCUCACAGUUUUCUUCCUUUUCAUUACUUCACAUCACUUCAACCUUAAAUUUUCUACUAAUUGUGAAGAUUUUGCAUAUUCAAGCUUUCAAUUUUCUUCAGCUUUUCCCCUAUUUUUUUUAUUUUUAUUUUUUCAGAUUUCGUGGUUAAUCUCAUUACUCAUGGUAGAUGUGUUGGUUGGGUGAAUUUAUUCCUUCAGCUUUUCCCUUAUAUAUGAUGCUUAUGAGCUACUUGUGAGAAUCAUUCCAUUGCUCUUCCAAGACCCGAAAGUAAAUACAUAUUCAUUUUGUUUUUUUUUUUUUUUUGCUUUGAUUACUUGCUUCAUAAUUGUUAAUUUCUAUUUCUCUUUGCUCUAAUUGUUACAAGUUUUACAUUAAUUUUUUCAUCCUACAUCAAUGAAUUGUAUGUGUUUGAUAAAUAGUCUCAAACAAAAAAUAAUUUUCUUAUAUUUAUAUGUUUAUGUUGAUGAAUCUUCUUGACCUGUAGAGGUGAUUGUUCUGUUAUUAUUGAUAUGUUUAUGUUUAUUAUUUUUUCUUAUGUUUUUGUGUUUUUAGCAAGGAGUGUAUUGUUUUUGUUUAAGGUAUUUGGUUUUUCAAAGUAAUUGAACUUGAAUGAAAUAAUGUAAGAAAGAAACUUAUAGCUUCAAGCCAUUGCUGUAAUGCUAAUUUUUGUGCUUUUCAUUCUUAGAUAAACCUUUUCCAACCUUUACAAAAAAGAGUUACAUUUAGCACAAAGU